GAUGAAGAACGCAGCGAAAUGCGAUAAGUAAUGCGAAUUGCAGAAAUUCCGUGAGUCAUCGAAUCUUUGAACGCACAUUGCGCCCGCCAGUAUUCUGGCGGGCAUGCCUGUUCGAGCGUCAUUUCAACCAUCAAGCCCUGCUUGCGUUGGGGUCCUGCGGCUGCCCGCAGGCCCUGAAAACCAGUGGCGGGCUCGCUAGUCACACCGAGCGCAGUAAUACAUCUCGCUUUGGGCGUGCGGCGGGUUCUUGCCGUUAAACACCCCCUUUUUACCAAGGUUGACCUCGGAUCAGGUAGGAAUACCCGCUGAACUUAAGCAUAUCAAUAAGCGGAGGA
rnacentral:misc_RNA from 1 species